GAUGAAGAACGUAGCGAAAUGCGAUAAGUAGUGUGAAUUGCAGAAUUCAGUGAAUCAUCGAAUCUUUGAACGCACAUUGCGCCCUUUGGUAUUCCUUAGGGCAUGCCUGUUCGAGCGUCAUUUAAACCUUCAAGCUAAGCUUGGUGUUGGGUGACUGUCCGCUUCACGGCGGACUCGCCUCAAAAUUAUUGGCGGCCGGUACAUUGGCUUCGAGCGCAGCAGAAACGCGAACUCGGGCCCGUCGUAUUGGCUCCCAGAAGCUAUCUUCACAAUUUUGACCUCGGAUCAUGUAGGGAUACCCGCUGAACUUAAGCAUAUCAAUAAGCGGAGGA
rnacentral:misc_RNA from 1 species